rnacentral:rRNA from 1 species
AGAAUCAACGCUGGCGGCGUGCCUAACACAUGCAAGUCGCACGAGAAAGGGUAGCAAUACCUGAGUACAGUGGCGCACGGGUGAGUAACACGUGAAUAAUCUACCUCCGAGUGGGGAAUAACUGAGAGAAAUCUUAGCUAAUACCGCAUAAUACCCACGGGUCAAAGCAGCAAUGCGCUUGGAGAGGAGUUCGCGGCAGAUUAGUUAGUUGGCGGGGUAAUGGCCCACCAAGACGAUGAUCUGUAUCCGGCCUGAGAGGGCGCACGGACACACUGGAACUGAAACACGGUCCAGACUCCUACGGGAGGCAGCAGUGGGGAAUUUUGCGCAAUGGGGAAACCCUGACGCAGCAACGCCGCGUGGAGGAUGAAGCCCCUUGGGGUGUAAACUCCUUUCGAUCGGGAAGAUAAUGACGGUACCGAUAUAAGAAGCCCCGGCUAACUCGCGCCGAGCAGCCGC